rnacentral:rRNA from 1 species
AGGGUGGGAGCGGAUACGAGUUAUCUGAACCUUCGGGGAACGAUAACGGCGUCGAGCGGCGGACGGGUGAGUAAUGCCUAGGAAAUUGCCCUGAUGUGGGGGAUAACCAUUGGAAACGAUGGCUAAUACCGCAUGAUGCCUACGGGCCAAAGAGGGGGACCUUCGGGCCUCUCGCGUCAGGAUAUGCCUAGGUGGGAUUAGCUAGUUGGUGAGGUAAGGGCUCACCAAGGCGACGAUCCCUAGCUGGUCUGAGAGGAUGAUCAGCCACACUGGAACUGAGACACGGUCCAGACUCCUACGGGAGGCAGCAGUGGGGAAUAUUGCACAAUGGGCGCAAGCCUGAUGCAGCCAUGCCGCGUGUGUGAAGAAGGCCUUCGGGUUGUAAAGCACUUUCAGUCGUGAGGAAGGUAGUGUAGUUAAUAGCUGCAUUACUUGACGUUAGCGACAGAAGAAGCACCGGCUAACUCCGUGCCAGCAGCCGCGGUAAUACGGAGGGUGCGAGCGUUAAUCGGAAUUACUGGGCGUAAAGCGCAUGCAGGGUGGUUUGUUUAAGUCAGAUGUGAAAAGCCCGGGGCUCACCUCGGAAUAAGCAUUUUGAAACUGGCAGACUAGAGUACUGUAGAGGGGGGGUAAGAAUUUUCAGGUUGUAGCGGUGAAAUGCGUAAGAGGAUCUGAAGGGAAUACCGGUUGGCGAAGGGCGGCCCCCCUGGACAGAAUACCUGACAACUCAGAAUGCCGAAAAGCCGUGGGGGAAGCAAACCAGGAUUAAAAUACCCCUGGGUAGUCCCACCGCCCGUAAAACGAUGUCUACCUUGGAAGGUGUGCCUUGAGCCCGUGGCCUUUCCGGAGCUAACCGCGUUAAGUAAGACCGCCUGGGGAGUACGGUCCGCAAGAUUAAAACUCAAAUGAAUUGACGGGGCCCGCACAGCGGUGGAGCAUGUGGUUUAGUC